rnacentral:lncRNA from 1 species
CAUGCAAACUCCUUUUAGAAGAUUUUUCAUCACUGAAUUUGUAUCCUCAGUACGUAGCACAGUGCCUGGCAUAUAUGUGACCCCCCAAAUGAUUCAUUCAGCUGGAUAGCAAUGGGGAAUUUUGCUACAAUAAAAACGAAAUGGCAAUGGCAGCUUUCAACUUCCAAACUGAUGUAUCUUCAAAGAGAGUAUCUGCUCCUUUCCAUCCCUACCCCAAAGACACACUUAAACUCAAUUCCCAUCAUCUAAUAGAAGAGCAAAGCUACCAGGUUCCUCUUUUGGCUAUGAUUCUACUUUUUCGGAGAGAAGGAGUGAGGCACAGGAAUACAACUCGGAGUCCUUUCUUCAUUGACUUGAGGACCAUCAGGAGCCACCUGGUUGGGAGUCCCUAUGAGUAAGACUUCAGACAGACUCAGGAGGCAAGGGGAAAGCUGAAAAUGUCUGAGUCAGCAAGAAAUAGAAGGCACCUUGAACAUAAAAAAGAUGACAAUGACUGAAUGGAAAGACACAAAACUGGCAAUUGGAUCUAUAUUUUAUUUUAUUCUUAACCAGAAUUUGGUAUUUUAUUUUUUCUUUAUAAGUUUUAUUCUUGUCUUUUGUUUUUUACAUCAAUCAUUUUCAGAUAUCCAUCCUCAGCUCUAUUUGUCAUGAAACUUUUAACAAAGGAAAAAAAGUAAAGUGAAAUCUACCAAUUCAACAAUUACAUCUGAGAGAAUAUGUAAUGUUUUUUCAUUUGGGAUCUCCACCUCCACUUCUGUCUCAAGAGGUUGGAAGCUUGUUUUAUUCUUUAUCCUCUAAAAAAAUUGGAUGUUUUGUUUAAUUUGAGACAGGCAUCAUGGAAUCAGAACUGGCCAUGAUGCCAGGAAGACCUGUAUUAUAGUCAUACCUCUGACACAUAAUAGAUUUGUGUCCUUGGGUAAACCACUUAAUCUUUUAGUUCUCUCUGUAGCUCUCUAAAAAAAUAAGUUGCAGAAGUGCCAGCCUAUAUUGGGAGGGGGAGUUUCCUCAUCUGGGAAUUACCUAAGAAAAUCAUAGUUCUAAUCUAUUAUGUAAUAUGUGCUUAGCUGUCUUUUA